rnacentral:rRNA from 1 species
UGAAUACGAGAUGCUACGGCGUCGAAGCAGUCUAUGUCAUACUUCCAAGAAAAGCUCGCACUGUCAUAAACAAAUAAUGCCUGUACCAUAACCGACACAGGUGGGUAGGUAGAGUAUACUAAGGGGCGCGAGAUAACUCUCUCUAAGGAACUCGGCAAAAUGACUCCGUAACUUCGGGAGAAGGAGUGCCUUAUUUAUAAGGUUGCAAUAACAAGAUCCAAGCAACUGUUUAUCAAAAACACAGGUCUCCGCUAAGUCGUAAGACGAUGUAUGGGGGCUGACGCCUGCCCAGUGCCAGAAGGUUAAAGAAGUUGGUUAGCAUUCGCGAAGCUGAUAACUGAAGCCCUGGUGAACGGCGGCCGUAACGAUAACGGUCCUAAGGUAGCGAAAUUCCUUGUCGGGUAAGUUCCGACCCGCACGAAAGGCGUAAUGAUUUGGAUACUGUCUCGGAGAGGGGCUCGGUGAAAUAGACUUGUCUGUGAAGAUGCGGACUACCUGCACCAGGACAGAAAGACCCUAUGAAGCUUUACUGUAACUUGAGAUUGAAAUUGGACUUUACUUGCGCAGUAUAGGUGGGAGGCGUUGAUAAUAUUCUUGCGGGAUUAUUUGAGCCAUCAGUGAGAUACCACUCUUGUAAUGUUAGAUUUCUAACUUUGUAUCAUUAUCUGGUCAAAGGACAGUUUCAGGCGGGCAGUUUGACUGGGGCGGUCGCCUCCUAAACGGUAACGGAGGCGCACAAAGGUUUCCUCUGAACGGGUAGAAAUCGUAUCUAGAGUGUAAAGGCAUAAGGAAGCUUGACUGUGAGACCUACAAGUCGAGCAGGGACGAAAGUCGGUCUUAGUGAUCUGACGGUGCUGAGUGGAAAGGCCGUCACUCAACGGAUAAAAGUUACUCUAGGAUAACAGGCUGAUCUCCCCCAAGAGUUCACAUCGACGGGGAGGUUUGGCACCUCGAUGUCGGCUCAUCGCAUCCUGGGGCGGUAGUACGUCCCAAGGGUUGGGCUGUUCGCCCAUGAAAGCGGUACGCGAGCUGGGUUCAGAACGUCGUGAGACAGUUCGGUCCAUAUCCGGUGUAGGCGUUAGAAUAUUGAGAGGAGCCUUCUUUAGUACGAGAGGACCGAGAAGGACAUACCUCUGGUGUACCAGUUAUCGUGCCAACGGUAAACGCUGGGUAGCUAUGUAUGGAGUGGAUAACCGCUGAAAGCAUCUAAGUGGGAAGCCCACCUCAAGAUAAGUAUUCGC